rnacentral:rRNA from 1 species
GACUACACGGGUAUCUAAUCCUGUUUGCUCCCCACGCUUUCGCACCUCAGCGUCAGGAAUAAGCCAAGAAGCCGCCUUCGCAACCGGUGUUCCUCUCGAGAUCUACGCAUUUUACCGCUACUCCGAGAAUUCCACUUCUCUCUCUUAUCCUCUAGCAAAUCAGUUUUGAUCGCAGUUCCUUGGUUGAGCCAAGGGAUUUAACAACCAACUUAAUAAGCCGCCUACGCGCUCUUUACGCCCAGUGAUUCCGAAUAACGCUUGCACCCUUCGUAUUACCGCGGCUGCUGGCACGAAGUUAGCCGGUGCUUUCUCUAGUGGUACCGUCAUCUCCAGUAUGUAUUAGAUACCGUUCUUUCUUCCCACUUAACAGGAGUUUACGAUCCUAAAACCUUCAUCCUCCACGCGGCGUCGCUGCGUCAGGGUUUCCCCCAUUGCGCAAUAUUCCCCACUGCUGCCCCCCGUAGG